rnacentral:rRNA from 1 species
AUUGAACGCUGGCGGCAGGCCUAACACAUGCAAGUCGAAUGGUAACAGGAAACAGCUUGCUGUUUCGCUGACGAGUGGCGGACGGGUGAGUAAUGUCUGGGAAACUGCCUGAUGGAGGGGGAUAACUACUGGAAACGGUAGCUAAUACCGCAUAACGUCGCAAGACCAAAGAGGGGGACCUUCGGGCCUCUGGCCAUCAGAUGUGCCCAGAUGGGAUUAGCUAGUAGGUGGGGUAACGGCUCACCUAGGCGACGAUCCCUAGCUGGUCUGAGAGGAUGACCAGCCACACUGGAACUGAGACACGGUCCAGACUCCUACGGGAGGCAGCAGUGGGGAAUAUUGCACAAUGGGCGCAAGCCUGAUGCAGCCAUGCCGCGUGUAUGAAGAAGGCCUUCGGGUUGUAAAGUACUUUCAGCGGGGAGGAAGGGAGUAAAGUUAAUACCUUUGCUCAUUGACGUUACCCGCAGAAGAAGCACCGGCUAACUCCGUG